GCCUGGGGGAAGCCAUGUACUCGUGGAUGCACGGCUUCCACGCACACUCACUAUGGGCCUGGACCCUCUGCCAGGCGCUGAAGUUCUCUCCCCUAGUGGCAGCCCUGUACUCUGCUAUACUCUGGAAGGCUCAGAAUGCUCUGGAAGAUCUCUCUAGGCAUUUUCCAACACUUCAGACAGGGUUCAGUCUCUUAGCAAAGCAGGAAGAGUGGGAGGCACCUCAGCUGGAGAGGGAAGACAGAGGUAAGUAGACAGAGGGUGUCUCCUCCUUACAGUCUCAAACUUCUAAAGCUCACAGCCUUUGUUCUCUCACAUGACAAUGGUGCUGAGCCGGUGCCAAGCUUCACAAGCAACUGCCUUGCCCCUCCUGGGAAUUCUUCCCAGGGCCGGUCCCAGGCUGCUGCAUUCACAGAACAUCUUUCCUUUGAGCAGGAGCCAAACAUGAUCUCACAAGUCCUCAUGUGGCCUUCUGGGAAAAAAAUGUUUGUGCUGGUAAAUGUUUGGCUUGAGAAAGAACCCUGUUUUCCAAAGCUCGUAUGCUUUACAGGAGAUUACAGGGUUGGAAAAUGGAAGAAACUGGAGUAACACUGUCCUUCCCUCGAGAAAGGCAAAGGGGUAAGGGCAGAGAAGAUCCAGAUCCAGAUAGAUGACCUAGCAGGAGGACAAUCAGGCUUCCUGCGCAUCCUGACACUGAGUUCUUUAUCAGGCCAACAGUGGCUACACAGAAACAGAUAUGUUUUCCUUCUGCUUCUGCUCCUAAGCUGGUGCUCCUUGUGAUGUAGGUUAGAGAGGCUACCGCAUAGCACACGUGCAUUACUCCUUCAUCCUGUGCCUGGGGCAGACAUCGAAAAUUGACCACCACACACUUUUCUGCUGAAUUUUCAGAGGUUCACGGCACAGCAGUGCAGGACAAUGUGGCCAAUUGUGCAGAAAUAGCAGGCUGGAGAAGAUCUGUUUGCUAUUCGUUAUGGUUGAAGGUUUAUCCCUGAGACAGAAGAGAAGGAUCUCACAUUCCCCAAGAGCUACUGUAUUUUUC
rnacentral:lncRNA from 1 species